GUACACGCUGUGACUAGCAUAUCAAUAAGCGGAGGAAAAGAAACUAACAAGGAUUCCCCUAGUAACGGCGAGUGAAGCGGGAAGAGCUCAAAUUUGAAAUCUUAAAGGGUUUCCCUUUACGAAUUGUAGUUUAAAGAAGUGUUUUCUGUUGAGGUUUUGGUAAAGGUUCUUUGGAAUAGGACAUCAUAGAGGGUGAGAAUCCCGUAUUUGACCUUUACUUUCAACUUUGUGAUACACUUUCAAAGAGUCGGAUUGUUUGGGAAUGCAGUCCAAAAUGGGUGGUAAAUUUCAUCUAAAGCUAAAUAUUGGCGAGAGACCGAUAGCGAACAAGUACCGUGAGGGAAAGAUGAAAAGAACUUUGAAAAGAGAGUUAAACAGUACGUGAAAUUGUCAAAAGGGAAGCGUUUGACACCAGUGUUGUUUUUCUGAAAAUCAAUUAAAGAACUGUUUAUGCUAAGCUGUUUAGACUUUAUCAGCUAUCUGUUUAGUUUUGAGCUUUUCUUUAAUGCACCUUUCAGUUAACAAGUCAACAUCAAUUUCUUUUGCUGUAAAAAAGCUUGAGGAAGGUGGCUUGAGAUUCGUCUUAAGUGUUUAUAGCCUCUUGCCUAUGCAGUCGGAGAGAUUGAGGUCUGCAGCGUAGAUCCUUCGGGGCUAAAUGCAUUUGUGCUAAGUUAUAGCAUUUUAUAGACAACUUGUUGACUAUGAUUUGUCUUGUAGCUUACUCGCUUAUGUUAUUUUACCUACGCUUAGGAUGUUGAAGAUGUAGCACAUCAU
rnacentral:rRNA from 1 species